rnacentral:rRNA from 1 species
UGAGGAAUAUUGGUCAAUGGGUGAGAGCCUGAACCAGCCAAGUCGCGUGAGGGAAGACGGCCCUACGGGUUGUAAACCUCUUUUGUCAGGGAGCAAGAACAGGCACGUGUGCCUGACUGAGAGUACCUGAAGAAAAAGCAUCGGCUAACUCCGUGCCAGCAGCCGCGGUAAUACGGAGGAUGCGAGCGUUAUCCGGAUUUAUUGGGUUUAAAGGGUGCGUAGGCGGACUGCCAAGUCAGCGGUAAAAUAGCGGGGCUCAACCCCGUCGAGCCGUUGAAACUGGUGGUCUUGAGUGGGCGAGAAGUACGCGGAAUGUGUGGUGUAGCGGUGAAAUGCAUAGAUAUCACGCAGAACUCCGAUUGCGAAGGCAGCGUACCGGCGCCCAACUGACGCUGAAGCACGAAAGCGUGGGUAUCGAACAGGAUUAGAUACCCUGGUAGUCCACGCAGUAAACGAUGAAUGCUAGCUGUCCGGGACGAAUGAGUCCUGGGUGGCACAGCGAAAGCGUUAAGCAUUCCACCUGGGGAGUACGCCGGCAACGGUGAAACUCAAAGGAAUUGACGGGGGCCCGCACAAGCGGAGGAACAUGUGGUUUAAUUCGAUGAUACGCGAGGAACCUUACCCGGGCUCAAACGCACUACGAAUGAUGCUGAAAGGUGUCAGCCAGCAAUGGCGGAGUGCGAGGUGCUGCAUGGUUGUCGUCAGCUCGUGCCGUGAGGUGUCGGCUUAAGUGCCAUAACGAGCGCAACCCCUAUUGACAGUUGCUAACGGGUCAAGCCGAGGACUCUGUCGAGACUGCCGGCGCAAGCUGUGAGGAAGGCGGGGAUGACGUCAAAUCAGCACGGCCCUUACGUCCGGGGCGACACACGUGUUACAAUGGCAGGUACAGCGGGAAGCCACCUGGCGACAGGGAGCGGAACCCGAAAACCUGUCUCAGUUCGGAUUGGAGUCUGCAACCCGACUCCAUGAAGCUGGAUUCGCUAGUAAUCGCGCAUCAGCCAUGGCGCGGUGAAUACGUUCCC